GGUGAACGCUGGUGGCGUGCUUAAGACAUGCAAGUCGAACGCAGUCUUCGGACUGAGUGGCGCACGGGUGAGGAACACGUAACUGACCUACCCCCAAGUCGCGGAUAACUGGCCGAAAGGUCAGCUAAUACGUGAUGUGAUGUCCCCUUUCUGGGGGGCCAUUAAAGGUUUACUGCUUGGGGAUGGGGUUGCGUUCCAUCAGCUAGUUGGCGGGGUAAAGGCCCACCAAGGCAACGACGGAUAGCCGUGCUGAGAGGGUGGCCGGCCACAGGGGAACUGAGACACGGGUCCCACUCCUAAGGGAGGCAGCAGUUAGGAAUCUUCCACAAUGGGCGAAAGCCUGAUGGAGCGACGCCGCGUGAGGGAUGAAGGUUCUCGGAUCGUAAACCUCUGAAUCAGGGACGAAAGACGCGUAAGCGGGAUGACGGUACCUGAGUAAUAGCACCGGCUAACUCCGUGCCAGCCGCCGCAGUAA
rnacentral:rRNA from 1 species